GACGAACGCUGGCGGCGUGCUUAACACAUGCAAGUCGAACGGAAAGGCCCUGCUUUUGUGGGGUGCUCGAGUGGCGAACGGGUGAGUAACACGUGAGUAACCUGCCCUUGACUUUGGGAUAACUUCAGGAAACUGGGGCUAAUACCGGAUAGGAGCUCCUGCUGCAUGGUGGGGGUUGGAAAGUUUCGGCGGUUGGGGAUGGACUCGCGGCUUAUCAGCUUGUUGGUGGGGUAGUGGCUUACCAAGGCUUUGACGGGUAGCCGGCCUGAGAGGGUGACCGGCCACAUUGGGACUGAGUUCCGGCCCAGACUCCUACGGGAGGCAGCAGUGGGGAAUAUUGCACAAUGGGCGGAAGCCUGAUGCAGCAACGCCGCGUGCGGGAUGACGGCCUUCGGGUUGUAAACCGCUUUCGCCUGUGACGAAGCGUGAGUGACGGUAAUGGGUAAAGAAGCACCGGCUAACUACGUG
rnacentral:rRNA from 1 species